rnacentral:rRNA from 1 species
GGAUCCAGACUUUGAUUAUGGCUCAGGACGAACGCUGGCGGCGCGCCUAACACAUGCGAGUCGAACGAGAGAUGAGGAGCUUGCUCUUCAAAUCGAGUGGCGAACGGGUGAGUAACGCGUGAGGAACCUGCCUCAAAGAGGGGGACAACAGUUGGAAACGACUGCUAAUACCGCAUAAGCCCACGGCUCGGCAUCGAGCAGAGGGAAAAGGAGCAAUCCGCUUUGAGAUGGCCUCGCGUCCGAUUAGCUAGUUGGUGAGGUAACGGCCCACCAAGGCGACGAUCGGUAGCCGGACUGAGAGGUUGAACGGCCACAUUGGGACUGAGACACGGCCCAGACUCCUACGGGAGGCAGCAGUGGGGAAUAUUGCACAAUGGGGGAAACCCUGAUGCAGCGACGCCGCGUGGAGGAAGAAGGUCUUCGGAUCGUAAACUCCUGUUGUUGAGGAAGAUAAUGACGGUACUCAACAAGGAAGUGACGGCUAACUACGUGCCAGCAGCCGCGGUAAAACGUAGGUCACAAGCGUUGUCCGGAAUUACUGGGUGUAAAGGGAGCGCAGGCGGGAGAACAAGUUGGAGGUGAAAUCCAUGGGCUCAACCCAUGAACUGCUUUCAAAACUGUUUUUCUUGAGUAGUGCAGGGGUAGGCGGAAUUCCCGGUGUAGCGAUGGAAUGCGUAGAUAUCGGGAGGAACACCAGUGGCGAAGGCGGCCUACUGGGCACCAACUGACGCUGAGGCUCGAAAGUGUGGGUAGCAAACAGGAUUAGAUACCCUGGUAGUCCACACCGUAAACGAUGAUUACUAGGUGUUGGAGGAUUGACCCCUUCAGUGCCGCGGUUAACACAAUAAGUAAUCCACCUGGGGAGUACGACCGCAAG